rnacentral:rRNA from 1 species
GUGCCAGCAGCCGCGGUAAUACCAGCUCCCCGACUGGUCGGGACGAUUAUUGGGUCUAAAGCGUCCGUAGCCGGCCCUGUAUGUGAUCCGUUAAAUCCAGCGGCUCAACCGCUGGGCUGCGGAUCAUACUAUGGGGCUAGGGGACGGGAGAGGCCGGAGGUACUCCGCGGGUAGGGGUAAAAUCCGCUGAUCCGCGGAAGACCAACAGUGGCGAAGGCGUCCGGCCAGAACGCGCCCGACGGUGAGGGACGAAAGCCAGGGGAGCGAACCGGAUUAGAUACCCGGGUAGUCCUGGCCGUAAACGAUGCCCGCUAGGUCUUGGUGAAGCUUAGGGUUUCAUCAGGGCCGCAGGGAAGCCGUUAAGCGGGCCACCUGGGGAGUACGGCCGCAAGGCUGAAACUUAAAGGAAUUGGCGGGGGAGCACCACAAGGGGUGAAGCCUGCGGUUUAAUUGGAGUCAACGCCGGGAACCUUACCAGGGGUGACGGCAGAGUGAAGGUCAGGCUAAAGACCUUACCUGACAAGCCGAGAGGAGGUGCAUGGCCGUCGCCAGCUCGUGCUGUGAAGUGUCCUGUUAAGUCAGGCAACGAGCGAGACCC